UACGAAGGGGGCUAGCGUUGUUCGGAAUUACUGGGCGUAAAGAGCUCGUAGGUGGUUUGUCGCGUUGUUCGUGAAAACUCACAGCUCAACUGUGGGCGUGCGGGCGAUACGGGCAGACUAGAGUGCGGUAGGGGAGACUGGAAUUCCUGGUGUAGCGGUGAAAUGCGCAGAUAUCAGGAGGAACACCGGUGGCGAAGGCGGGUCUCUGGGCCGUAACUGACGCUGAGGAGCGAAAGCAUGGGGAGCGAACAGG
rnacentral:rRNA from 1 species